rnacentral:lncRNA from 1 species
CCUCCGCCUGGGGCAAAGAGCGGCGACCCGGCACCCCAGGCGCCCCCGCGCAGGGAGCGCGGGAGGAAGGGAAGAGCCAGUGUAGAGGAGAGGCCUCAGAGCAAAGCACCUGGGAGAAACGGCUAUGGUGCCCCAGGCCUGCUCAGCUCAAUGGUAGAACAUCUGCCUAGCACACAGAAGGCCUGGGCUCGCAUGUCUAGAGUGAAAAGGAAGGAGGAGGAAAGGAUGAGGAGGAAAAGGAGAAGGAGGAAGACAGAAAAAUCAUGGCGAAAGAGAUGAAGAAGAGAACAAGCGUGGGGAAGAAAGCAAGGAAGGAAGAAAGAGAAAGAGAAAGAAAAAAAGAAAGGGGAAAAAGAGAAGGAAGAAAGGAAGGCAUGAGAAUGAAUUCUACUAGUAAGUGAAAGCAAAAAUAUAUUAAGGAAGAGAAGAAAGUAUCCAUCAUUCUAUAUGUUAUAAUUGCUU